AAUUACUGAUAUGCAAGAAAUUGGUAAUAACUGACCAAUAUUGCUCUCUGUAAUGACCCCUCGCAUAAAAAUUGUACAAAGUCAAUGACUCAACAUAAUAUUCCUAGAUCCCUUUUGUCCUGUAGUUAAAACUGAAAUAAUACCGAGACUUAAGUCAACAAUAUUGUUUAUUUGAUCUUUUAUGUAGGCUUUCAACAAUGACGUGCUAUGAAUCACUAACGUGAAGUGGUAAAUAUGACAGUAAUAAAACUGAAAUUUUGCCCGUGAACACAUGCACUAUGUAGCAGACCAAAUACUUGUAAACC
rnacentral:lncRNA from 1 species